rnacentral:rRNA from 1 species
ACCAGGGCCAUAUCUCCCUGCAGUUCUCGCCUGGUUUCCCACUGACGCUAAGCAGGGUUGAGCCUGACCAGCACCUGGAUGGGAGACCUCCUGGGGGAAAACUAAGGUUUCUGCUGGAA